GUAGUGUAUGAAAACAGAGGAGGUUAGCAUUCUCUCUGACAAGGAUGGAAGAGGCCCUUGGGCCUGACAACAAGCAUAUGGGUAAAGCCUUGCCACCUACUUUGUGGCAUCUAAGCAUCAUCUUUU